GCUUUAAGAGGCGAAAGGUCAAUGCUAGGCCUUAUGUGGAUGCGAGUGGAGGUUUAAACAGUAAACGUGGAUUUAUGUCACUUGAGAUUGCUCACCAGGGGAACAGCAAUGCCAUGCUCUCUAGCUAGCCUGAUGAGUUUGCUUUCCACCUUUUCUGGGGCUCCAGAAUGGUGGAGCCCCAAUUUGCUGUUUAGUGGGUACAUCCCAAGCACCUGCCCCUGAGCAGAAGGGUAACCUCCUGUGUUGCUCCUCACUUCCUGCCUUUGGGAUUCCUCAGUGCCCAAGAGCUGCCGAGGAGACUCGAAUCUACACGUUCUCCAGAUGACCUUGGACCACAGGCUGGAGGGUCCCAUGAAGGAACGGCAUUCUGGAAAGUUCUGUGUGUAGCCCAGUGUGUGCUGCUAGCUACACACAGCUGUUGAGGACUUGAAAUGUGACUCCCGAGACCAAGUUAAACACUGCAUUUUAUUUAGCUGUAAUUAAUUUGAAUCUAAACGUGGUGGCCAUAUGUAGUUAGGGGUUAGUACUGGAAUAUGCAGUUUUAGUAGGAGGCUUGAAGUGGACCUCUCUUUAUAGAACUGUAAGGAGCCUCCAGAGCAUCUGGUCUGGUUUCUCCUUUUAAUGAAGACCCAGGCUACCAUCACUUUGCAUGCUCAGAAAAUCGACUGCCCUGAAGGGCCAUGGAAAUGCUACCUUUGAGUGGCGAACAGGCCAUCUCUGUAGUGGCAAGUCCACCCUUGACCACCACGCUCUUUGAUUCUUAUAAUGAACCAGCUUUCUGUUAUCUCCACUGAUGUACAUUUAAUUAUGAACAAAUGUUACAGGACGAAGGUACGACGUUCCCAACAAGUGCUUGUACUGAGGCUUGCCGACCAGCAGGUGGCGCUGUUGAGAGGCGAUUGCCUCAGGAGGAUGUUGAUUUCAUCAGAGCUGGAUGUAUUCGCUCCUAGUAAUAAUUAGGAGGUGGGACCUGCCUGGAGGAAGAAGUUUGCUGGGUGGUGUCUUUGAAGGGUGUACCUUGUCCUUGGUACCUUUUGUGCUAUCUUUCUCUUUAUUGGCCACGAUGAGUUGAGCCGGCUCUGCUUCACCCCACGUGGCCCACCAUGAGGCUCUGAUUGACCAUAGUCCAGGAACGAUGGAGACAGGGCAUGAGAAGCUGUUUCCUGCUUCUUCCUCAUGGGUGGCACCAUGCCUUCUUCAUCGCGUGGACUGUGUCCCUUUAAACCGGGAGCUCAAAUAAGCCUCUCUUCCUUGAAGUUGUUUCUGCGAGGGAUGUCAUCAAUUGAGGACAAGACUGUGCUUGUUGCCUCUCUGCCCCCGGAACCUGGCAUGGGCCCUGGCAAAGGAGCGACAUUCAGCAAAGGUCGACACUAGGCAUGGUGCAGUGCAAUCAAAAGAUCCUGAAUAGAAGACUUAUCUAGAAAUCUGCUUCUUACUACUGGCGUGUACCUUCAACAAAGGCCGUGGUUGCUGCAAUGAUAUUUGCUUUCAGAACAGACGUUCCCCACGGACUCUCUGAAGAACCAGUGCGCAAAUGCUGUCAACAGAAAUCCAGCUCUGGUAACUGCUCUUGGGCUAUGUGGUUCCUGGCCCAGACAGAGGACUAGAGGACUAGCCCACAUCUGACAGUGUGGCUGUGGGGCCUGAAGCUCUGGCGAGGACACUCAGACAGAAGAAAUCAGAGAGCUACCUCCCGCAGGAAGCACAGCAGAGUUGAAGGCCAGCCCAGGGGACGUCUUGGUUCAGACUGUGUAUGUGGUCUGUGCAUGUGCAUGUAUGCAUGCAUUUUCUGUAUGUGUGUGUUGUUUGUGUUAUUGACAUGUUGUGUAUAUACACACACACAUGGUGUGCUUGUGCUAUGUGGUACAUAUAUGCAUGUUUGGUAUAUAUGAGUAUUAUAUUAUGUACAGGUACAGUGUGAUGGGAUGUAUAUUAUGUGGGUAUAUGUUUUAUGUUUAUUGUACAUGUGAAGACACGUGUGAUUCAUGUAGUGUUCCUGUGCAUGCAUGAUAUAACAUAUAUGUAUAUAUGUGUUACAUGUGAUAUGCUUUAAGUAUGUGUAUCUGUCUGUUAUAUAUUUUUGGUUUUUUGUUUCUUUUUGGUUUUUGUGUUUGGUAUUUUGAGACUGGGUUUCUCUGUGUAGCCAUGUCUGUAGUCCAGGCUGACCUUGAACUCAGAGAUCCACCUGACUCUGCCCCCCAAGUGUUGGAAUUAAAGGCAUACAUACACCAC